rnacentral:rRNA from 1 species
CCUACGGGUGGCUGCAGUGGGGAAUAUUGCGCAAUGGGCGAAAGCCUGAUGCAGCAACGCCGCGUGAGGGAAGACGGUUUUCGGAUUGUAAACUUCUGUUCUUAGUGAAGAAUAAUGACGGUAACUAAGAAGCAAGACACGGCUAACUACGUGCCAGCAGCAGCGGUAAUACGUAGGUGGCAAGCGUUGUCAGGAAUUACUGGGUGUAAAGGGAGCGUAGGCGGGAUGCCAAGUCAGCUGUGAAACCUACGGGCUUAACGUGUAGACUGCAGUUGAAACUGGCUUUAUUGAGUGAAGUAGAGGUUGGUGGAAUUCCGAGUGGAGCGGUGAAAUGCGUAGAGAUCCGGAGGAACAUCGGUGGCGAAGGCGGCCAACUGGGCCUUAACUGACGCUGAGGAGCGAAAGUGUGGGGAGCAAACAGGAUUAGAUACCCGGGUAGUC